UACGAAGGGGCUAGCGUUGCUCGGAAUCACUGGGCGUAAAGGGUGCGUAGGCGGGUCUUUAAGUCAGGGGUGAAAUCCUGGAGCUCAACUCCAGAACUGCCUUUGAUACUGAGGAUCUUGAGUUCGGGAGAGGUGAGUGGAACUGCGAGUGUAGAGGUGAAAUUCGUAGAUAUUCGCAAGAACACCAGUGGCGAAGGCGGCUCACUGGCCCGAUACUGACGCUGA
rnacentral:rRNA from 1 species